UACGAAGGGGGCUAGCGUUGCUCGGAAUUACUGGGCGUAAAGCGCGUGUAGGCGGCUUUGCAAGUCGGAUGUGAAAGCCCUCGGCUCAACCGAGGAAGUGCGUUCGAAACUGCAGAGCUUGAGUACCGGAGAGGGUGGCGGAAUUCCCCAAGUAGAGGUGAAAUUCGUAGAUAUGGGGAGGAACACCGGUGGCGAAGGCGGCCACCUGGACGGUCACUGACGCUGAGACGCGAAAGCGUGGGUAGCAAACAGG
rnacentral:rRNA from 1 species